rnacentral:rRNA from 1 species
GACGAACGCUGGCGGCGUGCUUAACACAUGCAAGUCGAACGGAAAGGCCCUGCUUUUGUGGGGUGCUCGAGUGGCGAACGGGUGAGUAACACGUGAGUAUCCUGCCCUUGACUUUGGGAUAACUUCAGGAAACUGGGGCUAAUACCGGAUAGGAGCUCCUGCUGCAUGGUGGGGGUUGGAAAGUUUCGGCGGUUGGGGAUGGACUCGCGGCUUAUCAGCUUGUUGGUGGGGUAGUGGCUUACCAAGGCUUUGACGGGUAGCCGGCCUGAGAGGGUGACCGGCCACAUUGGGACUGAGAUACGGCCCAGACUCCUACGGGAGGCAGCAGUGGGGAAUAUUGCACAAUGGGCGGAAGCCUGAUGCAGCAACGCCGCGUGCGGGAUGACGGCCUUCGGGUUGUAAACCGCUUUCGCCUGUGACGAAGCGUGAGUGACAGUAAUGGGUAAAGAAGCACCGGCUAACUACGU